rnacentral:lncRNA from 1 species
GUGUGUAUGGCUGUAUGUAAGGUAUUUUUGGCGGGAGGGAGAUGAGUGUCGCGUUUUUGUGACAGAAUGAAACAGAGAAGAUCGACACUGCUGUGCGUGCGAUCUGCAGCCGGUUGAAAGGAUGACUGAGACCUGCGACAUGAAGAAGCAGCAAUGCUACUUGUGACGACGUCUGUUCAUAGGGGUGUUCGGACGGUUACUGUUGGAUUCCUACAAGUUUUGGUGGUGAUCUACGGCGAUUCCGAGUUUGUUGGUCUUCUGCUGGAGUUCGUUUUUUCGGCGAGCUUUGGUUGGAGACGGGUCUGGUGAGAAAGGUAACAGUAUGGGGUGAUGGUUUUGGAGUUGCUGCUGGUCGGUGUGGUGAUGUUGAGAUGGUGGGAGGAGUUGAAGAAGUUGCGUGAUUGGUUUUCCGGGGAGGGUCGUUUGGGUUGAAAUUGUAGAACACCGGAGAUAGUCUUUUUUGUGUCC